AUUUCUCAUCUAAGUGUUAUUGUUAAGGUUCAUACCGAGCAUAUGAUUGAGUGAGAAAAUAAGGGUGAUUGGAAUCAAUCUCCGGCAUAAUAGUACAAUUACCACCCAUAGUAGUAUUGCCAUUAUCAGGUUUUGUUCCAGAAUUCUCGACAGAGUUAGUCAUUAUUAUUGAAGAGGGUGAUAGAUUGAAGAAUAAUAGAAAAAGACUUUAUGAUUAAGAGUGCUCUGAUACCAUCAAAGAAACAAAAAUUAGAAAUUCUCUACGUAUUGAUUGAAUAUGGAGAAUACAAUUUGUUCCUAUGUUUAUACAUAACUAAAGAAAAGAAAAGAAUUUUCUAUUGUAACUAUCAUUCCAGCUGUACAAUCUUAAUUGCCUUUUCUAUAACAAACUUUAUUCCCUCUCUAAGUAUAUUCAUUUCAGCUAUAUGUAAAAUCUUUAAUUGUUGGGCCUUUUAUUCGAAUUGGGCUUCUGGCUGGCCCACUGCAGGAGUAGCUCUUUAGCGCAUACAACAUAACCCUUAUCAUAUUUAGACCAGAUAAAAGGGUUAGUCUUCUUCGAUGAAACCAAGGCAAAAUAUGAAACCUUGUUUGUUUAUGUUUUCUUCUUUCUUUUGAUGGUGUAUCGUUUGCAUUAAAUAUUUCAUUCAGUGAUAUACCAUUUGUAAUUCCAACACAACCACCAGCUUUCUUCAUUCUCAAUGUAAAGAUUUUUUUUUGGCAAAAUCACUUUGGAUCAUCUUUUUCAUUGGUGAAAAUCAUGAACUUUUUUAUUGUUGCAAAUCUGCUAAUAGGGAGGAUCUAUUCUACUCCCUUAAUUUUAUAGAUCUUCUUCUCCUUCUUUAUUUUUUGCCUUUUCCUCUCUCUUUACUAAAAAUGUUCUUGUUGGGAAGUCCACUCUAAACCAGAUCCAUACCAGAUCUGGCCAGUAAAGACUAUAUACCAACUAAUAUCAACGACAUCAAGCAAGCUCCGAUGACUUCAAUGACAUCCAGUCAUUUUCGGUGACUUUCAGCAAGCUUCGUCAAUUCCAAAAAGUAUUAAUUUCAUCCGUGGAAACCUAGCAAUGCUAUCAGUUAAUGUAACAUGUCAUAACUUAAGUCAUGAGGCAGAUCUAGACAACCAGAUUCAUUCUUUCUUCUCCAAGGAAGUUCCGCCGAUCUCUUCUUCAAGUUCCAGCUAGAAAUAUUUCACUGGGGAACAAGCAGAGUGGUGGUGGACUGGAAAUUUACAAAAGAUAAGUUAAAAGCAUUAAAAGGUACCCAUAAGUAAUCUCUAGUAGUCGCAGUGUAUACUGAACACGUUAAGGAAGGCUGACCAGUUCUACAAAGAAAACUGACAUUCAGCGGACUUCGAUUUGGCAUGCCAAAUGGUUACCUUGUCUCAUUCUUGUCAACCUAGAGCAGUGUACUUUCACUUCUGAAUAUGUAAAACACUUUAUGAUAAUUUUUAUGCUAAGAUGUUAUUUAGCAUUUUACCUCCUCA